UAUGUCAUAUGUGUAUGUUUUUACCUCUAAAUAAACGGGACAGAAAAGAAAAUAACAGUACUACAUAUAAACCGUAAAAUACAAUAUAUUACUAUUUCUGUCAAUUUUUUUUCUUGUAUGCGCGACAAAACCGUAUUAUGGAUGAAAGUGAAACUGCAGUUAUUUCGUCAUAUCGUAUGGAAAUGUGGUCAAACAAUGUGACGUCCACCAGGAAGAAAAAAAUAUAGUCUCAUGUGUACUGCUGUAAAUCACACACAUAUACAAACGUGAGACUGGCGAGUCUUUUGUGUGCGUUCGUAAAGGAUUUGUCGCCGUUCCGGGUUCACGUAGAGUUUGGUGACCCUUUCCCACGUCAGUAUAGUGUAAUUGUUAUACGUGGUGCACUUUACUCAGCUCUAAUGGUAUAAUCGCGUGAAAUUUCCUUAUCGUCCCGUACAC